rnacentral:rRNA from 1 species
UGGGGAAUAUUGCACAAUGGGCGCAAGCCUGAUGCAGCGACGCCGCGUGGGGGAUGACGGCCUUCGGGUUGUAAACUCCUUUCGCUAGGGACGAAGCUUUUUGUGACGGUACCUAGAUAAGAAGCACCGGCUAACUACGUGCCAGCAGCCGCGGUAAUACGUAGGGUGCGAGCGUUAUCCGGAAUUAUUGGGCGUAAAGCGCGCGUAGGCGGUUUUUUAAGUCUGAUGUGAAAGCCCACGGCUCAACCGUGGAGGGUCAUUGGAAACUGGAAAACUUGAGUGCAGAAGAGGAAAGUGGAAUUCCAUGUGUAGCGGUGAAAUGCGCAGAGAUAUGGAGGAACACCAGUGGCGAAGGCGACUUUCUGGUCUGUAACUGACGCUGAUGUGCGAAAGCGUGGGGAUCAAACAGG